rnacentral:sRNA from 1 species
GGAUGUGAGGGCGAUCUGGCUGCGACAUCUGUCACCCCAUUGAUCGCCAGGGUUGAUUCGGCUGAUCUGGCUGGCUAGGCGGGUGUCCCCUUCCUCCCUCACCGCUCCAUGUGCGUCCCUCCCGAAGCUGCGCGCUCGGUCGAAGAGGACGACCAUCCCCGAUAGAGGAGGACCGUUCUUCGGUCAAGGGUAUACGAGUAGCUGCGCUCCCCUGCUAGAACCUCCAAACAAGCUCUCAGGGGGUGGUGCCUGAGCCCUGUCACCAUGACCUAUCCACUGUCCCAGGAGACUGGAAACU